rnacentral:rRNA from 1 species
UACAGAGGGGGCUAGCGUUGUUCGGAAUUACUGGGCGUAAAGGGCGCGUAGGCGGCCCGCUAAGUCGAACGUGAAAUCCCCGGGCUCAACCUGGGAACUGCACUUGUGACUGCAUGGCUAGAGUGCGUCAGAGGGAGGUGGAAUUCCGCGUGUAGCAGUGAAAUGCGUAGAGAUGCGGAGGAACACCGAUGGCGAAGGCAGCCUUCUGGGCCAAUACUGACGCUCAUGCACGAAAGCGUGGGGAGCAAACAGG